rnacentral:rRNA from 1 species
UACAGAGGUCUCAAGCGUUGUUCGGAUUCAUUGGGCGUAAAGGGUGCGUAGGUGGCGUCGUAAGUCAGGUGUGAAAUUUCGGAGCUUAACUCCGAAACUGCAUUUGAUACUGCGGUGCUUGAGGACUGGAGAGGAGACUGGAAUUUACGGUGUAGCAGUGAAAUGCGUAGAGAUCGUAAGGAAGACCAGGUGGCGAAGGCGGGUCUGCUG